CAGAAUGCACCGGUGCUUCAGUUCCUCACUGCUGAGCUGCUCUAAUGAACGCUCUUCUGUAGUCUCCUGAACACCUCCCAUUGCUUAUGCAGGGGCCUUACCUUCACAUUCACCUGGAGGAGCUGCAGCCACCUACAGCACAUCAGCUGGAUGUGAGCCCACAAGGAACAAAGGUGUUUUUGCCACAGCUCUUCAACUGACUGCACAAUGACGAUGGAAGAGCCAGGGUGAAGACGGAUGAUGUUGGAAUUUCCUUCUUGCAGUCUGAUGUGCCUCAGAAAAUGACACUGAACAGCUCAGAAUCUCUCUGAGGUGACGGUAUGGUCACCCAUCUGUAUCUUGCCUGGAAGCAUUUUGCAGACCUUUUGAGGCUUAGUUGCUCAAAACAUCUUAAA